rnacentral:rRNA from 1 species
AGAGUUUGAUCCUGGCUCAGGACGAACGCUGGCGGCAUGCCUAACACAUGCAAGUCGAACGGAGUUAUUAUUCAGAAGUUCUUCGGGAUGGAAGGAUAAGAACUUAGUGGCGGACGGGUGAGUAACGCGUGGGUAACCUGCCCUUUUGUGGGGAACAACUUCGAGAAAUCGGAGCUAAUACCGCAUAAUAAUAGAGGAUCGCAUGAUUCUUUAAGGAAAGAUGGCCUCUGAAGAUGCUAUCGCAAAAGGAUGGACCCGCGUCUGAUUAGCUAGUUGGAAGGGUAACGGCCUACCAAGGCAACGAUCAGUAGCCGGCCUGAGAGGGUGAACGGCCACAUUGGGACUGAGACACGGCCCAAACUCCUACGGGAGGCAGCAGUGGGGAAUCUUCCGCAAUGGGCGAAAGCCUGACGGAGCAAUGCCGCGUGAGUGAAGAAGGCCUUCGGGUUGUAAAACUCUGUCCUUAUCGAAGAGAGGUAGGUAUGUGAAUAAUGUACCUAUAGGACGGUAGAUAAGGAGGAAGCCCCGGCUAACUACGUGCCAGCAGCCGCGGUAAUACGUAGGGGGCGAGCGUUGUCCGGAAUCACUGGGCGUAAAGGGCGCGUAGGCGGUUUAAUAAGUCAGUGGUGAAAACUGAGGGCUCAACCCUCAGCCUGCCACUGAUACUGUUAGACUUGAGUAUGGAAGAGGAGAAUGGAAUUCCUAGUGUAGCGGUGAAAUGCGUAGAUAUUAGGAGGAACACCAGUGGCGAAGGCGAUUCUCUGGGCCAAGACUGACGCUGAGGCGCGAAAGCGUGGGGAGCAAACAGGAUUAGAUACCCUGGUAGUCCACGCCGUAAACGAUGGAUACUAGGUGU